ACCUUUUUGUAGUUCGUAAGCAUGGCAAUUGGCUGUUCACGCUGUGUGUUUUUUACCUGUGUCUCCCUCGAACCUUGCUACCACUUCGGCACAUUACCCAUAUGAGG
ensembl:snoRNA